GUAAUAAUCCUGUAGUCGAAAAUGUUGUCUCUCUUGAGUGGAUCCUGAGUACGACGGAGCACGUGAAAUUCCGUCGGAAUCUGGGAGGACCAUCUCCUAAGGCUAAAUACUCUCUAGUGACCGAUAGUGAACCAGUACCGUGAGGGAAAGGUGAAAAGCACCCCGGAAGGGGAGUGAAAUAGAACCUGAAACCGUGUGCUUACAAGUAGUCAGAGCCCGUUAAUGGGUGAUGGCGUGCCUUUUGUAGAAUGAACCGGCGAGUUACGAUUUGAUGCAAGGUUAAGCAGUAAAUGUGGAGCCGUAGCGAAAGCGAGUCUGAAUAGGGCGUUUAGUAUUUGGUCGUAGACCCGAAACCAGGUGAUCUACCCUUGGUCAGGUUGAAGUUCAGGUAACACUGAAUGGAGGACCGAACCGACUUACGUUGAAAAGUGAGCGGAUGAACUGAGGGUAGCGGAGAAAUUCCAAUCGAACCUGGAGAUAGCUGGUUCUCUCCGAAAUAGCUUUAGGGCUAGCCUCAAGUGAUGAUUAUUGGAGGUAGAGCACUGUUUGGACGAGGGGCCCCUCUCGGGUUACCGAAUUCAGACAAACUCCGAAUGCCAAUUAAUUUAACUUGGGAGUCAGAACAUGGGUGAUAAGGUCCGUGUUCGAAAGGGAAACAGCCCAGACCACCAGCUAAGG
rnacentral:rRNA from 1 species